rnacentral:rRNA from 1 species
AACGAACGCUGGCGGCAGGCUUAACACAUGCAAGUCGAGCGCCCCGCAAGGGGAGCGGCAGACGGGUGAGUAACGCGUGGGAACGUACCCUUUGCUACGGAAUAGCUCCGGGAAACUGGAAUUAAUACCGUAUGUGCCCUACGGGGGAAAGAUUUAUCGCCAAAGGAGCAGCCCGCGUCUGAUUAGCUAGUUGGUGGGGUAAAGGCCUACCAAGGCGACGAUCGGUAGCUGGUCUGAGAGGAUGAUCAGCCACACUGGGACUGAGACACGGCCCAGACUCCUACGGGAGGCAGCAGUGGGGAAUAUUGGACAAUGGGCGGAAGCCUGAUCCAGCCAUGCCGCGUGAGUGAUGAAGGCCUUCGGGUUGUAAAGCUCUUUCGCACACGACGAUGAUGACGGUAGUGUGAGAAGAAGCCCCGGCUAACUUCGUGCCAGCCGCCGCAGUAAUAC